rnacentral:rRNA from 1 species
UACGUAGGGUCCGAGCGUUAAUCGGAAUUACUGGGCGUAAAGCGUGCGCAGGCGGUUUUGUAAGCCAGAUGUGAAAGCCCCGGGCUCAACCUGGGAACUGCAUUUGGGACUGCAAGGCUGGAGUACGGCAGAGGGAGGUGGAAUUCCACGUGUAGCAGUGAAAUGCGUAGAGAUGUGGAGGAACACCGAUGGCGAAGGCAGCCUCCUGGGCCAACACUGACGCUCAUGCACGAAAGCGUGGGGAGCAAACAGG